rnacentral:rRNA from 1 species
AGCGAACGCUGGCGGUAGGCCUAACACAUGCCAGUCGAACGGCAGCACAGUAAGAGCUUGCUCUUACGGGUGGCGAGUGGCGGACGGGUGAGGAAUACAUCGGAAUCUACUUUUUCGUGGGGGAUAACGUCGGGAAACUUACGCUAAUACCGCAUACGACCUACGGGUGAAAGCAGGGGAUCUUCGGACCUUGUGCGAUUGAAUGAGCCGAUGUAGGAUUAGCUAGUUGGCGGGGUAAAGGCCCACCAAGGCGACGAUCCGUAGCGGGUCUGAGGGGAUGGUCAGCCACACUGGAACUGAGACACAGUCCAGACACCUACGGGGAGCAGCAGUGGAGAAUAUUGGACGAUGGACGCAAGCCUGAUCCAGCCAUACCGCGUGAGUGAAGAAGGCCUUCUGGUUGUAGAGCCAUUUUGGUGGGAGAGAAGAGCAGCAGUUUAAUACCCCGCUGUACUGACGGUACCCAAAGAAUAAGCACCGGCUAACUUCGUG